rnacentral:rRNA from 1 species
UCNUCUGGCUUAACUGGGGGCUUGCGGUGGGUACGGGCCGGCUUGAGUGCGGUAGGGGAGGCUGGAACUCCUGGUGUAGCGGUGGAAUGCGCAGAUAUCAGGAAGAACACCGGUGGCGAAGGCGGGUCUCUGGGCCGUUACUGACGCUGAGGAGCGAAAGCGUGGGGAGCGAACAGGAUUAGAUACCCUGGUAGUCCACGCCGUAAACGUUGGGCACUAGGUGUGGGGGGCCUUUUCCGGGUUUUCCGCGCCGUAGCUAACGCAUUAAGUGCCCCGCCUGGGGAGUACGGCCGCAAGGCUAAAACUCAAAGGAAUUGACGGGGGCCCGCACAAGCGGCGGAGCAUGCGGAUUAAUUCGAUGCAACGCGAAGAACCUUACCAAGGCUUGACAUGUGCCGGUCGGCUCCGGAGACGGGGUUUCCUCCUUGUGGGGCCGGUUCACAGGUGGUGCAUGGUUGUCGUCAGCUCGUGUCGUGAGAUGUUGGGUUAAGUCCCGCAACGAGCGCAACCCUUGUCUCGUGUUGCCAGCACGUUGUGGUGGGGACUCGCGGGAGACUGCCGGGGUCAACUCGGAGGAAGGUGGGGAUGACGUCAAAUCAUCAUGCCCCUUAUGUCUUGGGCUUCACGCAUGCUACAAUGGCCGGUACAGAGGGCUGCGAUACUGUGAGGUGGAGCGAAUCCCUUAAAGCCGGUCUCAGUUCGGAUCGGUGUCUGCAACUCGACACCGUGAAGUUGGAGUCGCUAGUAAUCGCAGAUCAGCAACGCUGCGGUGAAUACGUUCUCGGGCCUUGUACACACCGCCCGUCACGUCAUGAAAGUCGGCAACA